GCGCCCGUAGCUCAGUUGGAUAGAGUACAGCCCUCCGAAGGCUGGGGUCGGACGUUCGAAUCGUCUCGGGCGCGCCA
rnacentral:tRNA from 3 species